CCCCUUUUUUUUUUUCCCCCGGGGGGGGGGCUCGGAGGGAUCAUUACCGAGUUUACAACUCCCAAACCCAAUGUGAACGUUACCAAACUGUUGCCUCGGCGGGAUCUCUGCCCCGGGUGCGUCGCAGCCCCGGACCAAGGCGCCCGCCGGAGGACCAACCAAAACUCUUAUUGUAUACCCCCUCGCGGGUUUUUUACUAUCUGAGCCAUCUCGGCGCCCCUCGUGGGCGUUUCGAAAAUGAAUCAAAACUUUCAACAACGGAUCUCUUGGUUCUGGCAUCGAUGAAGAACGCAGCGAAAUGCGAUAAGUAAUGUGAAUUGCAGAAUUCAGUGAAUCAUCGAAUCUUUGAACGCACAUUGCGCCCGCCAGUAUUCUGGCGGGCAUGCCUGUCCGAGCGUCAUUUCAACCCUCGAACCCCUCCGGGGGGUCGGCGUUGGGGAUCGGCCCUUUACGGGGCCGGCCCCGAAAUACAGUGGCGGUCUCGCCGCAGCCUCUCCUGCGCAGUAGUUUGCACACUCGCAUCGGGAGCGCGGCGCGUCCACAGCCGUUAAACACCCCAAACUUCUGAAAUGUGACCUCGGAUCAGGAGGAAUCCCCCGGUUU
rnacentral:rRNA from 1 species